rnacentral:rRNA from 1 species
GACGAACGCUGGCGGCGUGCUUAACACAUGCAAGUCGAACGGAAAGGCCCUGCUUUUGUGGGGUGCUCGAGUGGCGAACGGGUGAGUAACACGUGAGUAACCUGCCCUUGACUUUGGGAUAACUUCAGGAAACUGGGGCUAAUACCGGAUAGGAGCUCCUGCUGCAUGGUGGGGGUUGGAAAGUUUCGGCGGUUGGGGAUGGACUCGCGGCUUAUCAGCUUGUUGGUGGGGUAGUGGCUUACCAAGGCUUUGACGGGUAGCCGGCCUGAGAGGGUGACCGGCCACAUUGGGACUGCGAUACGGCCCAGACUCCUACGGGAGGCAGCAGUGGGGAAUAUUGCACAAUGGGCGGGAGCCUGAUGCAGCAACGCCGCGUGCGGGAUGACGGCCUUCGGGUUGUAAACCGCUUUCGCCUGUGACGAAGCGUGAGUGACGGUAAUGGGUAAAGAAGCACCGGCUAACUACGUG